CUCCUGUGAUUUUGAAUUUUGUGAUUUUGUAGAUGAGUCCCGUGAUCCAUGUGCUAUCGUAUGCUUUUUCUAUAUCAAGGAAUACCGCCGUUGUGGAUUUAUUUUCGUUGAAUCCGUUGUUGAUUGCAGACUCUAGACGUAUUAGAUUAUCAGUUGUUGUACACCCGUUCCUAAACCCGGUCUGGAAUUUUGGGAGGAGUCGAUUUUUUUCAGCAUACCAUUUUAAUCUGUUAUUCAUUAUUCUUUCCAGGACUUUGCAGAGGCAUGAUGUGAGGGAUAUUGGCCUAUAGGAAUCAGGCAAAUUCGGUGGCUUGUUCGGCUUUGGUAUGGGUACGACGAUGACAUUCUUCCAUUCUGGAGGUAGAUGGUGGCUCCUACGGCUUCUAUGUUUGGUGAUUGUGGAAGAGAUAUGGAGGCCGCUCGUAUAUUCUUUUUGAUGAGGAUCGCUACGCCUCCACCGUGAUUGUUCCGGUUUAGGUAGAACGUAUUGAACGCUGAGAUUUUAGGUACGUAUCCAUCUUUCCAAAAAGUUUCACUGAUUAUAACAAUGUGUGGGUCAUGGUAUCUUAUGUUGUAUUUAAAUUCUUGUAAUUUUGCUUUAUAAAGACUUCGGGCAUUCCAUUGGAUGAUCUUGAUCGGCU